UCUAGACGCUUCUGCUUGACAUUUCCCACCAUAAUAGCCUCGUUGCAUGUGUUAGUGAACCAAUAUGGAGUGGAAAUAGAAGUGGUUCUUCUCAUUCCUACCCCUAACGAUUCACUAGCAAAAUGCUACUUCUCAUUCCUAAAACUUAGGGCACUGCUGAUUUAGAGGUAUUAGUUUCCAAGAGAAAGAUGUCUCCCCCGGGGGAGACAAAAAAUGAUCCUAUUAACAUAGGGACUAACAUAUGCCACCUGGCUACUUUGAGUUUGGUUUUCAGAAAUCUCAAUCCUGCAGCUACAGGAAAUAAAGGUUUAUUUUACGGCAAUCACAGAACAAUCCUGCUCCCUUACGUAUGUCUUGAGUUGGGAACUUAUAGCCCUUUGCUUAUAGUUUUCUUUCUCCAAGUUCUUGAGUGCACUCAGAAGCAACCAACUAACCUUAUUGUACUCUUUAUUUCCAUUACAGUGUUCAGUGGUAGCAACUACUUGGUCACCCAGAGCCCUGCCUACUGUAGGUAUCUGGUUCUAGCUGAGUUCAGGUGGUAACUAAUGUACCUGUCUUGCCACCACCUGCCACGGUCUACCGGUGUCUCCUUUACCAUGAGCAAUAGGGUCAUUAAUGCCUUUAAAUCUAAUCAUAUUAACUCAAGAUUCCCAUCCUUAAGGUUCUAUUCUCUGGAACUAUUUCUACUACCUAUAAGGCAUUUGCUAUCAAUUUGAUAAUGAUACUAAUGGUGUUAGUCAGGGCUCCGUCAGGAAGGGAGAAAUAGUAACAGUAAUUGUGUAAUAAGGGAUUUAGUAGAGGAACAAAGCUUUAAACAUUUUUGGAGAAACUAGGGAAAUAAGCAUAUGAAUGGAAAAGUUGGAAGAUCAGAGAAAAGUCACUAAUCAACCUUCUCAAAUCAGGCAUAUCCAACUGUUAGAGCAGGAUCUAAAGAGCUGGUGGAGAAGUUUAUGUGGGACACUGUUUCUUCUCCAUCUGGGGGUUGGCUCGGGGUUGCUGUGGGUCAGAAGGGCUAGAUUUGCUGAGAAAAGCUUGAUGUGGAAUGAGGGAAAAUGAGUACAGCCUGGAACCUGCUGGCACCUGUAAUCAUGACAGCCUUCCGAGAGUAAUUGCUAUUGCUGCACUUCUCUGCCUUCCAACUUCAGCAACUCUAAUCUGGAACUAUGCAGGGAAGAGAAUUCUGGGAAAUAUUGUUUCAACCUACCCAAACCACCACAGUACAAAACCGCCACAUGCCAUGUAUUAGCUGCCUGAUGUUGAGCAAGUUGUUUCAUGUCUGUGAGUUUCUCUAAGUCUCUUUUCCAUCUCAGGAUUUGGACAUUGUCUUCUGGAACAUUGUCUCGGGUUUUCUGGAAUAUGCCCUGUUGCUGCGUAUGUCCCACUUACAGGCCUCUUGACAGGGGCACUACCUCCUCUCACUGGCCACCUAUGACUCCCUCUCAGCCCUAGGAUUUGUGGCGGCCUUUCCCUAGCUGGGGUUACCUAGCCCUUCCAGGCAGCCCUCUUGGGCAGUCCGCAUAGGCCCUCGGAAAACAUACAAACAUCUGUGGUCUGCUGAGCUCUGGAUGUGCAGCUUGCUCCCAAGAGAGUUCUCUGGGCUUACUGUCCAGGACCGCAAGCCGACCAUAGCCACUGACCUUUAGAUCAUUUUCAGGCCUGAGUCCCUCUGUCCCCCGCUGUCCAAUUGAUUUAAGUCAAGAUCUUUUGAGUUCUUUUCUGCAAUCCCCCUAGGUAGGGUAUAGUAAGGAUCAACAGCUAAAUCUUCCCCUUGGCUGGGGAAGGGAGGAAGUGGCAAUCCUCUCCAGAUAGAUCAUCACUACCACCUGCCUUUCUACUUGAACUCUUAGCCCUCUCUUAUAUAUUGUGGAGGUGGGUAAUGGACUAUUGAUCACCCCUUUUACAAAUCUGUAGAAAUACUCUACCAUCUUGAUUAGAAUGUGGGGGUAGUUAAGAAUAGUUGAUACCUAGCUUUCUUUUCCGAACUUUGGAGCCUCUGUCCACAUUUUGAGAUGGGGAAAGUCCCAUUUAACAUACUGUUACCUAUAUAAAGAGCCUAGCAUGAUGCUUAACACAUGGUAGACAUUCACUAAUAGAGGCGAUGAUGGAUUGCCAAACACGUGGAUCGAUCCAGACUUCUAAAUGGCUGGAAUCCUCUCCCCCUAAACCAGUCUAAAAAGGAGUUUGUAGCCUCAUGUAAGGCUUAAGAGGUAGUUGCCUGGUCCUCCUUAUGCCCAGUCCACGUGUCUAUUACAAAUACAAUGUCUAGAGCCACCUGAGUCUAGUAUCUCCUGUACCCAUGCACACACCCAGAUCCACAACCCACACUCAGGGACGAAUUGCAAGCCCAAGGAAGUCAGGAACCAGCUUAGCUGCUCACACUGGGGGAAGAGAGAAAUGAGCUUUCUCCUGUUCUGAACUCACAUCUCAGCCACAGAAGGUGGAGUGGGAACAUGCAGUCGGGUGCUGAGCCAUGUGUAGCCAGCAUGCCCUGGUCUGACAUGCAGGCUGGCAUCUGUCUUCAUUAGUCAGUCUCUGUGCUAAUCUAGUUUUUAUAUAUUUUUGAGUAGCAGCCUUGUUUGUGGGCAUGGAGAUACUCCAAUCCACAGAUGCACAGAAACACCAGCAGCAUAUGUAUAUACACAGCACAUGCAGUUACUUUCCUUAAGUUUAAAAGCAGAAGCUACAUGAAUUUGGAAAAUAUAAACUCAGCUGACUGACCUGGGGUGUGAUAACAUACUAAGGAAGCAUUCUUCUAUUUCAAAGUCUUUCUCUUGGCCUCUUAGCCUUUGUGACUUCAUUUCUUCCGUUGUUAGGUCUCACAAGUGGCACCGGAAAGGGUUAAAGGAGACACAAGCACAGCCUCCAAGAAAUCCCAAACCCAGAAAUACACAACCCAGAGUUGUCAUUUUCCAGAUUGCAGGCACGUACUGAGAAAGAUUCAAUUAAAACACUAGGGCUGGGAUUGGCAAAAGUUUUCUAUAAAGGGUCCGACAGUAAAUAUUUUAGGCCUUCUGGGACAUAUGGUCUCUUUGCAAUGUCUCAGUUCUGCUGUCCUAGCAGGAAAGUAGUCAUAGACAAAACAAACAAGUGAGAGCAGUGAUGUUCCAAUGAAAUUUUAUUUGCAAAAGGAGUCAGUGGGCCAAAUUCAGCCCACGGGCCUUAGUUUGCAGUUUCCCACUCUAGAAUCUAAAGAAGCCAGAAGCCAUCAAGACUGGCUUCACAGGUAUUCCAAAGGUUGAUAAGGCCUUCAUACUAUGUCCUCCAAAAAGGAAAAAAAUCAACUAUUUUGGGUGUGGCAUCAGUUUUCUUCUAUUACAUGCUGUGCCUUGAUAUUUUGAUGUUCAUCUGAAUGAGUUAUCCCAGUCCCUCCUUUUUGUCUUUACGUCUCUCUUUCUGUGUAUAUUUCUCUAAAGGCUUCCCAUUCUUCAUUCUGUCCCCUUGCACUCACAGGGUUUGGAGACUUUAGAAUAAGACCCCUUCACAUCCAUCCUUGCUACAAUCCUGGCUUCUUUUCAGGUUCCUCAUCUGUACUGGAGUACAGAGGCAUGUAAAGAACACUUGUCUGGAUCACUGGGUAGGACAUACUGUGUGACUUUGAGCCAAUCACCUAACCUCUCUGAGCCUCCCUUUCCAAAUCUGUCAAAGGGAAAAGUUGCCUAAUUGAUCUCUAAAAUUCCUUCUAGCUCUAAGCGUAUGAUUUUAGGAAGCUUCAGCCUCAACCUGAGGCAACUGUCUGGGACCAUUAAUUAUGAUGUCACUCUCAGACCUUAAUGAGACUGCCAGGAGGUCACAGAAAUUAGCCACAUGAUCUCUGGUAGUCGGCAACCUUCCUAAGGCCUCACAGCUGAGGAGGUGAGGAUACCAGAUAAUGUGAGAGAAUCUGGAGAGUCCAGCCCGCUGACAAAUGACUCCAGGACCCCUAUGCUCCAGGAAAAUUAGUUUGCAUUCCUAAACUGCCUUUGAAGUUGCUACAAAACGUGCAGUAAUAUUGACUUAGUUGGAAACAUGACCCUAGGGAGCUACUGUUGGAGGUGGGAGGCUUUCUUUUCUCCACCAGACCCUCUUGUGUUGUGUGGAGCUCUCCUGGCUGUGUAAGGGACACCCCUCAAAGCCCACCAAAUAAAUAUAUGAGUAGGUCUUGAGGAAAUGGAGGUAAAUCCCAGCAUAUGCCAAAGGAAAGAGGCUUUUUCUGUCAGCAGAGAUGAGGGACAUCAGGGAGGGUCAGGGAACCAGGACCUUGGGUGAGGCGGGAGCAGGUGGAAGUUGGCAGUUGAGGUGGGGGCAGUGGGGGAAUUUAACACAAAAUCACCCCCAUUCUCUUGGCUCAUAGUCCAGUCGUUUGUGGAUGCAGCAGAUGGGCAGGGGGCUGGCGCCCUCCCUCUGCCUCCUGGACACAGUCUCAAGGGAUGGGGAGGGAGUGGAGAAGUCCUCCUGGCCUCCAGGAAAGCAGGCUCUUAUUGUCUGACUCUGCUAAAGCUGCCUCAUUUGUAGCCUAAAUAAUUCACUCACCAAUCUCUCAAGGAACAUUAGAAGAAAAACAAAACCCAACCCAGCCCUCAUGCUCAGGUUCCCACUGCAGGCAAGUCCGGCCAGGAGGCUGGCAGGCAAUCCCAAGCUGCAGAGAUGGCCUGCCUUCAAAGGUUCAUCGGACAGGCAACCUUCCAAAAAUGGCCUGGGGUCUGGUUUUGGACAGCUUUUUGAGCUAAGAAUGGUUUUUACAUUUUUAAAAGGCUUUUUAAAAAGACAAAACAAAACAAAAAAACAGCAGCAAAGAAAAAUUUGUCAGAGACUUCCAGUGGCCUGCAAAGCCUAAAAUAAUCGCUAUCUGGCCCUUUCCAGAAGACUUGCCAGUCCCUUAAUCCAUUCCCUGGUCUUGAAGGAAGUGAUGACAACCUCUGACCUAUUCCUUCACUUACCCCACUCCCUGACACCACUAGGUGCAGAGAUUCAAAGUUGGCAGACUUCUGAUAUUUACAGUCUAGUGAGAAGCUGGCAUCAUUUCCCACUCCAUUACCAAAAGCAGAACUAAAUACAAACAGGAAGAUAAACCCUCGAGUAGGGUGAACAGUCUUGGUUUGGCUGCUUGGGGAAGAAGGGAAAGAAGCAGGGAGAGGCUGAGAUUCAGCCUCAACCCAUCCUCUGGGGGGAGAAUUCAACAUUGGUCUCUGCUGACACCCCUCCCCUCGAGCUCCACUCCCUUCCAUACACGCCCUGUGAUCCUGGUGAUCCCAGCUGAUCCCAGCUCAUCUUCACAGUCACUGAGCCUGUAAUUCUUUUACUGAUGAGAUAUCCAACUAGCCCAUAUCUCUGAGUCUCUGAAGCCUGCGUGUCAUUCUGACUCUGACAAACCUCAAUCCUGGACAGAGGCUCCAUCUAGCCCUGCAAGGGCUCCUCUACUGCCCAGCAGGGCCUUUGAAGGGAGAGGACUGUGACCAUCUCUGGACUCCACCCAGAGCCUCUCCUGAAGCCAGAGCCUCUGGGAGUUACAUACAAGCCUAAGCAUUCGGGGAGGGAUGCGUCAGCCUAGACAAUAGGGCUGCCAGCUCAGAGUGUCUCAGGUGUAACUGGGCCAAGUGACCUCUGAGCUGUCAUGGGGGUUGUUAGUAAUUUUGGAGGCUGAAGGCAGAGUGGAGAUCCGGUGGUCCCACCUAGCAUCUAGGUAUUCUGGAUUACUUCAGAUAACAAGGACCUGUUCUGGCAUCUCCCAAGAAAAAUGGUGCUGCUCUCCUGCCAGUCCUUUGCAGCCUCCUGUUCCUGCAAACAUGGAAGGCCCAGGUUGGAAUCCCACAUCCGGGCUAAGUGAAAGGUCUGAGAGAUUUGGGAUCCCAAACUGGGAGAUCUUGACCAACUCAUCUUAGCCUCGGGGACUCAGCUUCCUCAUCUGUUGAAAUAAGCAAACAAACAAAAACCUGAGGUGCUUGGAUGGUGGUAAUUUUAAGGUCCCGUCCGUCCCAUACCCAAUGAAUAGCCCAAACCAGGCCACACCUCUGCAGAAGCUUUGCUGGAAAGUUGACUGGCUUCAUCUCAGCUUUCCUUCCCCAAGUCAACCCGGUCUCAUGCAAAUGAGAUACAGCUGGUCUCUCAUCAAGGGGAGGGGGUUUCCCCUCAGCACGUUGGCAGCUUGCUGGGUGUUCAGACCCAUGUGAGGGAGGGAAGUGGAGGGGAGUGGAUUUGACCUCUUGUCUUCAUGCCUUGUGGCGAGGAGGUGGCUGAAGGGCCGUGGGAGUCUCACCCUCGCACCCCCAACAGGCCCACAGCAUGUGACCCGGAAGCCGCACACAGUGUCUUAACCUGAAUUAGCUCAAUUGUCUUUCAACAGCUCUCCAAUUUGACUGGACAUCCCUCAAGGGCAGGGACGGUAUCUUGACCUUCUUCUGGGUCCCCCAGGAGAACCCAGCACAACACUAGGUAUGUGGCCGGAGAUCCGUCCUUAUCGGCUGAGCAACUCAGUUGAAAUGUCCCUGGAAAAAGUGAUCUUGCACUUGGCACAGGGCGUGUGUCCAGGACCUGACAUUUUCUGGGAGUCAGACUCCCCCUGGGAAGAAGAGGAAACGAAGGCAUAUGGAGCAUUAGGGAUUUGCCCAGGACACAUAAGAUUUCAAAUCCAGAGUCCCUAACUCCAGUCCCUGGAGUCGAGAUAGUCCAGGGGACUGACCAGGGAUGUGCCCACACGUUUCACGGAUCUCCCCUUGGGAUGCCGACAGCCUAGACUCCCAGGCUCCCGUGCCCCCGGUUCCAGCCCACGUGAAAGGGGAAGCGUAGGGUGGGGUGAAGUGGCCAUCGCUGGAUACCUUGGUGGUUUUGACUUUGUGUCCGCUGCUGCAGCUCCAUCCCGACAGGUCCGGGAGCACUUUACACUCCUCCCCCGGCAGGCAGGGCUCCAUCUGACACCACCACUUCUGCAGGACGAUGGAGGCUGUGGGAGCAGGAGGCAGUGAGGGCAGCUCUAAGCUGUCCUGGAGUACAGCGUGCAGUCAAGGGUGGGGAGUCUGUGCGGAAUGAAGUGCAAGUUUGCACACCGCUGGCUGUGAGCCCUGCCUUCCCCUGUCUUUCCCCGACUCCGGGCUGCUCAGAAAGGCAGUACUCAGGCUGAGGCUGGGGCACACAACCGUAUCAAAGUCAAUCCCACUGACCCCUACGUGUCGCCAAGACAGCACGGGGUGAAGGCAGGGGAAGUUCUCCAGGGAACCCUUCAGUUGAGUCACCAUGGCAUUAGCAGAGAGGCACGGUCUUCAACAUACCCACUUGGUGUAUGUGAGCAAGUGUGAAAGGGCUCCACAGACCAGGAGUGCAAAGCAGGCGUGCAUGUGAGCACAAGUGGGCACGUUUACAACAUGGUCACGUGAGUGUGAGCCUACAAGCAUGGGUGCAAUCAUGGGGGGGAGGGGGGAGUGAAACAUCUGUGUCCAUGUGAGGGGAAGGUCAGGGCCACAGGAGAAUGGGCAGGGGUGUGUGUGUGUGUGUGUGUGUGUGUGUGUAAGAGACCUCGGAGGCGCAGGAGGAGAGGUCAAGGUCUGGGGGAGUUAAGUGUGAGUCUGGCAGGAUAUGUGAGAGGAUUCGUGUGACAGAAUGCGUCUGCGUAGCGCCUGGCAGCGAAUGUGGAUGAGAGGGAGGGAUGAAGUGGGGACGGUCCGUCUGCCCUCCUCCCCCCAGAGGUACCCCGCAUUUGAGACUGAUUGCCAAAGCCCUGGGAUGGUAUGAAACCAUAUCCCGAGCAGAUGGUGUGGCCUAGACAGACCUCCUUAUCUCUGUGAUCGGGCCCUCCCCGCCGGGUCCCGGCCUCUCACUCACCGUCCACGCAGGAGGGCUUUGCCCGCGUGGUGCCGGCCACCUGGCCGGGAAAGCAAGAGCAUUUGACAGUCUGGGAGCGCUCCUCGAUGCGGUUCCGGUUGCAGCAGCGACGAGCGGCAAUCACCUCGCAGGUGCCCUGCUUCACAAGGACUGAAGUGGCCAGACAAGAUGAGGUGCCCAGCCCAGGCCUGCAACCCUGCUCCCCUCCCACCUGCCCUGCACAUCCUCCAGGCCCUCCUCCCCGCCGAGGGGAGGGGUGUUCAAGAGAUUUCCAACUGCAGGGGAGGAGGAAACACAGGAAAUCCUCCUGCUGCUUCAGUGUUCCUAUCCUUCCUUCUUCCUCAGUCAGGCCACACUCAGCCCUCUUUGGCGGAGCCUGGCCCUUGGGUGGAAGAGAGGUAGGAUUCCCCACCAGCCCCCACUUCCUCUGGUUUUGUCCGGUUGAGGGCAAGGGCCCCGGGGGCUUACAAUGCGUGGAGAGGAUCGUGGAGAGGAUCAUCCGCUUACACAGGCUUUAGCCAUCCCAGAAGGAAAACCACAGAAUUAGGCCAGGAGGCAAGACUUAAGCCUCCACCCCAGGGCCUCUCUCCCUGCAGAACACCUUCUGGCCUGGAAGGAAAGCUUCUGUCUGUUCAUCCACUGGCCUCAGACUCACUCUACCUGGACAAAUGCAGGCUAUGGGGAGGCUGAGUUAGCAGCCCGCAUACCAGCGUGGAGUCGAGGAUGUGGACCACAAGAGCCUUUAAGCUUGCACUGCCUUCUCCCGGCCUCCUCCAGCGCUCGCCCACUCCUCCAAAUUCUGAGCCCCCACCCUCCGGAUCUAUCUGCCCCACGGCGGUGCCCACUUGCCUCUGAG